rnacentral:rRNA from 1 species
GACGAACGCUGGCGGCGUGCCUAAUACAUGCAAGUAGAACGCUGAAGAGAAGAGCUUGCUCUUCUUGGAUGAGUUGCGAACGGGUGAGUAACGCGUAGGUAACCUGCCUGGUAGCGGGGGAUAACUAUUGGAAACGAUAGCUAAUACCGCAUGAUAUUAAUUGUCGCAUGAUAAUUAAUUGAAAGAUGCAAUUGCAUCACUACCAGAUGGACCUGCGUUGUAUUAGCUAGUUGGUGAGGUAACGGCUCACCAAGGCGACGAUACAUAGCCGACCUGAGAGGGUGAUCGGCCACACUGGGACUGAGACACGGCCCAGACUCCUACGGGAGGCAGCAGUAGGGAAUCUUCGGCAAUGGGGGGAACCCUGACCGAGCAACGCCGCGUGAGUGAAGAAGGUUUUCGGAUCGUAAAGCUCUGUUGUAAGAGAAGAACGGGUGUGAGAGUGGAAAGUUCACAC